AGAAGACAGAGAAGAGGGUGGAGUGGUGGAAACGGAGCUUGAGGCACUCGUUAACAACGGUGGGCCGAACGGUUGAGGAAGGGAGUACACCGACGGUUGUUGUCAAGGGAAGUUGGUGGGUCCUUGUGAAGAAGAAGACAUAGGGUGUUGAGAGGAAAGAAAGAUCAAGAAGGAGGUGGGAAGAAGAGGCUAAAAACUGAGGGGGCACGAUCUGACCCGACCCGACCCACCUGAAAAUUCCAAGCUUAGUCAAGGGACACUUGAAGACUCGAUAAAGUUUUGAGAAGUCUACGAUCAGGUUGUCUCGGUUUUCAAAGGACAGAAUCAAACAUUCAUUAAAGAAAUAUUCGUGACAACAACUUAAGUAGCCAGGUAAGUGACUUACUAUCAACAUGAUUAUAUUUGAUGUUGAC